UUUUAUUAUAGUGACACAAGUGGAUUUUAUUAUGAGAACAGUAGGAAACAAUGGAGAGGGGUUUUCUGGGGUUUUGUUUGUUUUGUUUUUUGGGACGGAGUCUCACUCUGUGGCCCAGGCUGGAGUGCAAUGGCACAACCUCAGGUCACUGCAACCUCCGCCUCCUGGGUUCAAGCGAUUCUCCUGCCUCAGUCUCUUGAGUAGCUGGGAUUACAGAUUUUUGUAUUUUUAGUAGAGACGGGGUUUCGCCAUGUUGGCCAGGUGAUCCUCCUGCUUCGGCCUCCCAAGUGCUGGGAUUACAGGCGUGAGUCACGGCACCCAGCCAAUGGAGAGGUUUUUUUUUUUUUUGUCUUUUUUUGUUUGUUUGUUUGUUUUUGAGACGGAGUCUGGCUCUGUGCCCAGGCUGGAGUACAAUGGCGCAAUCUUGGCUCACUACAAUCUCUGCCUCCUGGGUUCAAGUGAUUCUCCUGCCCCAGCCUCCCGAGGAGCUGGGACUACAGGCACGUGCCACCAUGCCCAGUUAAUUUUUGUGUUUGUGUGUUUGUUUGUUUUGAGACGGAGCCUCACACUGUCGCCCAGGC
rnacentral:lncRNA from 10 species